UACGUAGGUGGCAAGCGUUGUCCGGAUUUACUGGGCGUAAAGAGCGCGCAGGCGGUCGUUCAAGUCGCGUGUGAAAGCCCCCGGCUCAACUGGGGAGGGUCACGCGAUACUGAUCGACUCGAAGGCAGGAGAGGGUAGUGGAAUUCCCGGUGUAGUGGUGAAAUGCGUAGAUAUCGGGAGGAACACCAGUGGCGAAGGCGGCCACCUGGACGUUCACUGACGCUGAGACGCGAAAGCGUGGGUAGCAAACAGG
rnacentral:rRNA from 1 species